GUUUACACUCACUUCAGCAACACCUAUACUAAAAUUGGAAUGACACAGACAAUAAGACAAGAUCAGCAUGGUGCCUGUGCAAGGAUGACAUGCAAAUUUGUGAAGCAUUCCAUAUUUUU
ensembl:snRNA U6 U6 spliceosomal RNA